AUUGAACGCUGGCGGCAGGCCUAACACAUGCAAGUCGAGCGGAGCGGCCGACGGGCGGGUAAGAACUGGGAAGGGGCCUGGUCGAGGGGGAGAAAGAUCGGCAACGGACGCUAAUACCGCAUACUAUCAGUUGAGCCUAGAUGGGAUUAGCUAGGUGGUGAGGUAAUGGCUCACCAAGGCGACGAUCCGUACCUGGUCUGAGAGGAUGAUCAGUCACACUGGAACUGAGACACGGUCCAGACUCCUACGGGAGGCAGCAGUGGGGAAUAUUGGACAAUGGGCGCAAGCCUGAUGCAGCCAUGCCGCGUGUGUGAAGAAGGUCUUCGGAUUGUAAAGUACUUUAAGUUGGGAGGCGUUACCGACAGAAUAAGCACCGGCUAACUCCGUGCCAGCAGCCGCGGUAAUAC
rnacentral:rRNA from 1 species